rnacentral:rRNA from 1 species
UACGUAGGGGGCGAGCGUUGUCCGGAUUUAUUGGGCGUAAAGAGCGUGUAGGCGGCCAGGUAGGUCUGCUGUGAAAACUCGAGGCUCAACCUCGAGACGUCGGCGGAAACCAUCUGGCUAGAGUCCGGAAGAGGAGAGUGGAAUUCCUGGUGUAGCGGUGAAAUGCGCAGAUAUCAGGAAGAACACCCGUGGCGCAAGCGCCCAUCUGGCCAUGACCUGACGCUGUGGCACGAAAGCGUGGGGAGCGAACCGG